CUACGGGGGGCUGCAGUGGGGAAUAUUGCACAAUGGGCGAAAGCCUGAUACAGCAACGCCGCGUGAGGGACGACGGCCUUCGGGUUGUAAACCUCUUUUAGCAGGGAAGAAGCGAAAGUGACGGUACCUGCAGAAAAAGCACCGGCUAACUACGUGCCAGCAGCCGCGGUAAUACGUAGGGUGCAAGCGUUGUCCGGAAUUAUUGGGCGUAAAGAGCUCGUAGGCGGUUUGUCGCGUCUGCUGUGAAAAUCCGAGGCUCAACCUCGGACCUGCAGUGGGUACGGGCAAACUAGAGUGCGGUAGGGGAGAUUGGAAUUCCUGGUGUAGCGGUGGCAUGCGCAGAUAUCAGGAGGAACACCAAUGGCGAAGGCAGAUCUCUGGGCCGUAACUGACGCUGAGGAGCGAAAGCGUGGGGAGCGAACAGGAUUAGAUACCCGCGUAGUC
rnacentral:rRNA from 1 species